AACAGCUCAAAUUUGAAAUCUGGCUUCGGCCCGAGUUGUAAUUUGUAGAGGAUGCUUUUGGUGAGGUGCCUUCUGAGUUCCCUGGAACGGGACGCCAGAGAGGGUGAGAGCCCCGUAUAGUUGGACACCGAGCCUCUGUAAAGCUCCUUCGACGAGUCGAGUAGUUUGGGAAUGCUGCUCAAAAUGGGAGGUAUAUCUCUUCUAAAGCUAAAUACUGGCCAGAGACCGAUAGCGCACAAGUAGAGUGAUCGAAAGAUGAAAAGCACUUUGAAAAGAGGGUUAAAUAGUACGUGAAAUUGUUGAAAGGGAAGCGCUUGUGACCAGACUUGUGCCCGGCUGAUCAUCCAGUGUUCUCACUGGUGCACUCUGCCGGGCUCAGGCCAGCGUCGGUUCUCGCAGGGGGACAAAAGCUUCGGGAACGUAGCUCCUCCGGGAGUGUUAUAGCCCGUUGCUCAAUACCCCUGCGGGGACCGAGGUUCGCGCUCUGCAAGGACGCUGGCAUAAUGGUCAUCAGCGGCCCGUCUUGAAACACGGACCAAGGAGUCGAGGUUUUGCGCGAGUGUUUGGGUGUAAAACCCGCACGCGUAAUGAAAGUGAACGUAGGUGAGAGCUUCGGCGCAUCAUCGACCGAUCCUGAUGUAUUCGGAUGGAUUUGAGUAAGAGCGUAUAGCCUCGGACCCGAAAGAUGGUGAACUAUGCCUGAAUAGGGUGAAGCCAGAGGAAACUCUGGUGGAGGCUCGCAGCGGUUCUGACGUGCAAAUCGAUCGUCAAAUUUGGGCAUGGGGGCGAAAGACUAAUCGAACCAUCUAGUAGCUGGUUACCGCCGAAGUUUCCCUCAGGAUAGCAGUGUUGUUCUUCAGUUUUAUGAGGUAAAGCGAAUGAUUAGGGACUCGGGGGCGCUAUUUAGCCUUCAUCCAUUCUCAAACUUUAAAUAUGUAAGAAGCCCUUGUUACUUAAUUGAACGUGGGCAUUCGAAUGUACCAACACUAGUGGGCCAUUUUUGGUAAGCAGAACUGGCGAUGCGGGAUGAACCGAACGCGGGGUUAAGGUGCCAGAGUGGACGCUCAUCAGACACCACAAAAGGCGUUAGUACAUCUUGACAGCAGGACGGUGGCCAUGGAAGUCGGAAUCCGCUAAGGACUGUGUAACAACUCACCUGCCGAAUGUACUAGCCCUGAAAAUGGAUGGCGCUCAAGCGUCCCACCCAUACCCCGCCCUUA
rnacentral:rRNA from 1 species